rnacentral:rRNA from 1 species
GACGAACGCUGGCGGCGUGCUUAACACAUGCAAGUCGAGCGGUAAGGCCCUUCCGGGUACACGAGCGGCGAACGGGUGAGUAACACGUGAGUAAUCUGCCCAUCACUUCGGGAUAACUCCGGGAAACCGGUGCUAAUACCGAAUAUGACCACUUCCGGCAUCUGAUGGUGGUGGAAAGUUCCGGCGGUGAUGGAUGAGCUCGCGGCCUAUCAGCUUGUUGGUGGGGUAGUGGCCUACCAAGGCUUCGACGGGUAGCCGGCCUGAGAGGGUGACCGGCCACACUGGGACUGAGACACGGCCCAGACUCCUACGGGAGGCAGCAGUGGGGAAUAUUGGACAAUGGGCGAAAGCCUGAUCCAGCAACGCCGCGUGAGGGAUGACGGCCUUCGGGUUGUAAACCUCUUUCAGCAGGGACGAAGCGCAAGUGACGGUACCUGCAGAAGAAGCACCGGCCAACUACGUG